rnacentral:rRNA from 1 species
AUGAUCAGUGUCAAGUCAGCCCCCACUGAACGUGGACGUGUGCAUCACGUCUCAGCUAAAGAUGCUCAUGAUGAUCCGGAUGUCGUUCUUGGUACACUCCUUGUGAAUUGUCAUCCAGCAUCGGUUCUGUUCGAUACUAGAGCAUCUCACUCCUUCAUUUCUGAAAGCUAUGCUAACUUGCACAACAUGUCAUUUUGUGAUAUGCCCUCUCCACUAGUCAUUCAAACUCCUAGAUCCAAAUGGCAAACCUCUAGUGUAAGCCAUGGUAACAAAAUCCUUGUUGACAGACUUGUAUUCCUUGCCUCACUUACAGCCCUCAAGUCUACAGAUAUUAACAUCAUCUUGGGUAUGGACUGGAUGACAGCUCAUUAUGCCAAGAUUGAUUGUUACACCAGGUCCGUUCAGCUUACACAACCAUCUGGCAAGAUAGUCACUGUCUCCACUAGAGUUGCAAGGCGUCAGCUCUAUUCUCUUAAUGCCAGCCCUCUUCUAGACCUUGAAGAUAUCCCGGUAGUCCGUGACUUUCCGGAUGUUUUCCAGAGGAACUGCCAGGUGUUGCACCUGACAGAGAUGUAG